rnacentral:rRNA from 1 species
AGAGUUUGAUCCUGGCUCAGAACGAACGCUGGCGGCGUGCCUAACACAUGCAAGUCGAGCGCGAAAAGGGCAACCUGAGUAGAGCGGCGCACGGGUGCGUAACACGUGGGUAAUCUGCCUUAGAGUCGAGGAUAACUUUCCGAAAGGUUAGCUAAUACUCGGUAAGCUUACGGUGUCUUCGGACGCUGUGGGAAAAGUAGGCCUCUAUUUAUAAGCUUACGCUCUGAGAUGAGCCCGCGGCCCAUCAGCUAGUUGGCGGGGUAACGGCCCACCAAGGCAACGACGGGUAGCUGGUCUGAGAGGACGAUCAGCCACACUGGAACUGAGACACGGUCCAGACUCCUACGGGAGGCAGCAGUGGGGAAUUUUCCACAAUGGGCGAAAGCCUGAUGGAGCAACGCCGCGUGUGUGAUGAAGGUUUUCGGAUCGUAAAGCACUUUCGACCGGGACGAAAAACCUCUGGCUAACAUCCGGGGGCCUGACGGUACCGGGAGAAGAAGCACCGGCUAACUCUGUGCCAGCAGCCGCGGUAAUACAGAGGGUGCAAGCGUUGUUCGGAAUUAUUGGGCGUAAAGCGCGUGUAGGCGGCUUGGCAAGUCAGAUGUGAAAGCCCUCGGCUUAACCGAGGAAGUGCGUCUGAAACUGCUGAGCUUGAGUGUCGGAGAGGAUGGCGGAAUUCCGCAAGUAGAGGUGAAAUUCGUAGAUAUGCGGAGGAACACCGGUGGCAAAGGCGGCCAUCUGGACGACUACUGACGCUGAGACGCGAAAGCGUGGGGAGCAAACAGGAUUAGAUACCCUGGUAGUCCACGCUGUAAACGAUGAGAACUAGGUGUCGUGGGCGUUGACCCCCGCGGUGCCGCAGCUAACGCAUUAAGUUCUCCGCCUGGGAAGUACGGCCGCAAGGCUAAAACUCAAAGGAAUUGACGG